UCUCUCAUAAGCAUUGACAGCUACCCAGGGUGCAGUCACUAAAGAGGGCUUGGCCAGGGGCUUUCCCCUGGUCCUGGUACUGCCACUACACACAUUUCCCUCCAGUCAGCCCAGGAUAAGGGGAGUCUUGUGGUAGCUGCGGCCGUGGCUGACGGGCUGCCUGCAUUAGACCUUCAGUACCCAUCUGGAAGUCUAAUCAUGCUUCCUGUUGGGGUUUGACAUUUCCGGGGUGCCUCUUGUCUCCCACAGCUGUUGGCACAGUAGGCAGAGGACUCAAGAACUCAAAUCACAUGGCAAUCCAGCCUUUUCUCUUAGAAGGAAAAUGUGCCCAUUUGUCCCAGCUCAUCAGCCACUCCCAGACCUGGUAGGUGUGGAGUUCAGUUUGAGGAACCUGAGGAACCUGCUACCUUGGUUGAGGAAAGAGAAGCAGGGCCUGAGCCCUUAGGAACCCGUCUGUAGCCUGUUAUCGACAGAAUGUGGAUUCCUGAAUAUUGCCCAGGAGUCACCAGGCCUUCCCUGGGCAUCACCUGGUGCCAUCCUUUUCCUGCAGCCUAAAUCUCAGGAGUCAUGUUCUGCAAGGUUCCUCAGAACAGGUUCUUCCAAAUUAUAGGCACAGUACUGCCCUAGCACAGAGGUUGAUAAUGACUCUAUGACCCAAUCCGGCCCACUGCCUGGUUUUAUAUGACCUGUGUCAUCUUAGAAUGGCCCUUCCAUCUUUAAAUGGCUGGGGGAAAAUACGUCAGGAUACGUGAAUAUGCUGUGAAACUCACUUCUCAGUGUCUAUAAAUAAAGUCUCUAGGAACGCA